CUACGGGUGGCUGCAGUGGGGAAUAUUGCACAAUGGAGGAAACUCUGAUGCAGCAACGCCGCGUGGAGGAUGACACUUUUCGGUGUGUAAACUCCUUUUAUAUGUCAAGAAAAUGACGGUAGCAUAUGAAUAAGCGCCGGCUAACUCCGUGCCAGCAGCCGCGGUAAUACGGAGGGCGCAAGCGUUACUCGGAAUCACUGGGCGUAAAGAGCGUGUAGGCGGAUUAAAAAGUCAGAAGUGAAAUCCUAUAGCUUAACUAUAGAACUGCUUCUGAAACUCUUAAUCUAGAAUAUGGGAGAGGUAGAUGGAAUUUCUGGUGUAGGGGUAAAAUCCGUAGAGAUCAGAAGGAAUACCGAUUGCGAAGGCGAUCUACUAGAACAUUAUUGACGCUGAGACGCGAAAGCGUGGGGAGCAAACAGGAUUAGAUACCCCGGUAGUC
rnacentral:rRNA from 1 species